AUGAACGCUAGCGACAGGCCUAACACAUGCAAGUCAGGGGCAGCACAAGGAGCAAUCUGCGGUGGCGACCGGCGCACGGGUGAGUAACACGUAUGCAACCUGCCUGUAAGCGGGGAAUAACCCGUUGAAAGACGGACUAAUACCGCAUAAUACUAAAUUACUGCAUGGUAAUUUAUUUAAACAUUUAUGGCUUACAGAUGGGCAUGCGCAUGAUUAGCUAGUUGGAGAGGUAACGGCUCCCCAAGGCAACGAUCAUUAGGGGUUCUGAGAGGAAGGUCCCCCACACUGGUACUGAGACACGGACCAGACUCCUACGGGAGGCAGCAGUGAGGAAUAUUGGUCAAUGGACGAGAGUCUGAACCAGCCAAGUCGCGUGCAGGAAGAAUGUCCUUAAUGGAUUGUAAACUGCUUUUGCAGGGGAAUAAAGUGCAUCACGUGUGAUGUUUUGUAUGUACUCUGCGAAUAAGGAUCGGCUAACUCCGUGCCAGCCGCAGC
rnacentral:rRNA from 1 species